rnacentral:lncRNA from 1 species
UAUUACACCACACCACAUAAAAUGGAUGUCUCUCUUACAUAGUGGAAUGGAUCAGAGAGAAUUGUAUUAGAAGAAAAUUGUCCGUGGAGUAUGUAUGGAAGCGAUUCGUGAAUGCAAGGUUUUUUUUUUCUUUUUCUUUUCUAACUUUUAAUUUUCAUUGUUAUCCACGUUAUCUUGAUUUUGUUUUUCUUAUUUUUUAAACCUAAUUUAUUAUUAUGUACUUUAUUUUGGUUUUAUUUUUUUAUUGCGAUAUACUUAUCUUUGUUUAAGGAUGACCACUUGCCAAGUCAUAAGGGCUAGGAAUAUUUUUUUAAACAUCGUUCAAAGAAAAACAAAGUGCUAGGGAUGCACGCUUUGGAUAUAAGAGAUAAUAAACUGAAGGGCUAAACCAAGUUUUUGAAUUAAUUUACUGGCAUAUCAAUUUCAAAGUUGGUUAAUUUAACUUCACUUUAUAUAUACUCUAUAUGCAACAGAUUUAAAACAUGAUGUUAUUAUCGUGGGAUGUGGGCAAGGACCAUCAAUUGAAGAAGUAUCGAGGAACUGUCACACAACAAAGAGCGAUAAAGGUUAGGCCAAAAUUGACAGAACACAUGUCAUGAAGGUUAUUAAGGAUUGAGUGUGCAUGUAUCAUUUAUGGCGGUAUAACAUAUGAGAAGCCAAAUGGUGAACUAUAUUAAAUACAAUAUGCUAAUAAAACAAACAACUCUUUUUAAAUAUAAAGAGAAAUAUACAAUGCAACCUUCAACAUGAUAAUGACAUUGACUUUAUUAUUUAUUUUGAUAUUUUCAACCUGAUAAAUUUAAUUUUAUGUUCACUAUAAAUUUUUUAAUAAACUAAGAAAACGAGGAAAGAAAAUUUUACAAAUAAGAGAAGAUAAGAAAAACUAAGAGAAAUUUUAGGAUAAAAUAAAAUAUAAAAAAUUAUUUUCUAAAUUAAUAUAGAACUUAAUUCAUGGUUACAAAAAUUCAUUUUUUUUACUUAGUUAUAUAAAAUGUAAAUUAAAUUACUGAUAUUAUAAUUAUUUGUUUUUAUCUUUUUAUUUCUCUCUAAAGAUGGUAGCAUUUUAAUAUAAAUAUUUUAAAAAAUAAUAACUUAAUAAUUGUGAUAAUAAUUAAUACUAAUAUAUUUUUUAAAAAUUAUUACUUUAUUUUAUAAAAUAUUAGUAAUUUUUUAAUAAUGAAAUUAUAUUUAAAAAAAUGUUAAAAUUAGUUUAUAAUUGUUGGUCUUAUUUUAAAAAGGUAAAAAAAAAUGAGUAAAAUAUAUUUUAAAUGUUAGACUCGAAUGUAAAGUAAAACCUAAUUAAAUGAUAAUAAUAAUAAUAAAUAUUAAUUGAAAAGUAAAAAAUAAAAAAUAUAUAAGAAAGAGAGACCAGCUUGCAGCACAUUGAGAGAGUAUGAGAAAGAAGUAAUGAAUAAGAGCCAAGAGCCGACGGCCGCAUACGGGGAGAAAAGUAAGAAAUUGGUAUCCAUCGUUUCAAAAAACUUCUUCUCUUUUCAUUCAAAUUUCAAUAUGUCAUUAUACUUAUUUAAUUAAUUAACUAAAUAUAACUUUUCAGAUUUUGUAUUAUUCCAAUUUAUCUUUAAAAUAUUCAAUUUCUCUUUAAAUAUUAAAUAUUUAUUAUAUUAAAUAUAAUUAAUGAUAAUAAUGUUGUGAAUUUGUGAUGAGAUAUUGAAGUAACUUCAUAUUUGAUGAAAUAACGGUGAUUUCAAUUUCUGUUUGAGGUGACGGUCUUAAUGGAGUAUCAUAAGUCAACAAUGGGAGAAAAUAAAUAUUGAGAAUUUGUGAAGUGAUGAUUAUUUUUUCAUCAUAUAGGUAGAGUGUGACAAACCUAGUGAUUCCAAGGAAGUACAACUGAAUAAGUCUGAUCAUGGCAGUCUGCUUUGAGCCUUGAAGGUAUUUGGUUGGAUAAUUACUAGGUAACUUGGAGGUAGCACUCCAAAUAUCAGGAGCUACCAUGCAACACACGUUUACCUCGACUGUCGCAUAUAUGUGUCUCGAGUUGAGUUUAGGGUGAUUUAUGAGAACAUACCAAUUUAAAUUGUCUAUUCACCGGAAUGUUGGCAUAAUAUCAAGCCUCAUAACCAAAUAUUUCAGAAUUAGAAUGGUACUAUAUUGUGUAGAGUCUAAGCUCAUUCACAUAAUUGCAUUUUUUUAUAUUGUUUUGUUGUGAUUAAUAUGUAUUGUGUGCGAUAAUAAUUUCUUUUAGACGA